UGUCAGAAGUGGGAUUCGAACAAACGCCAACAAGGGAGGACUGGAACCUGAACGCAGUGCCUUAGACCACGCGGCCAUCCUGAC